rnacentral:rRNA from 1 species
GAUGAACGCUGGCGGCGUGCCUAAUACAUGCAAGUCGAGCGAACAGACGAGGAGCUUGCUCCUCUGACGUUAGCGGCGGACGGGUGAGUAACACGUGGAUAACCUACCUAUAAGACUGGGAUAACUUCGGGAAACCGGAGCUAAUACCGGAUAAUAUAUUGAACCGCAUGGUUCAAUAGUGAAAGACGGUUUUGCUGUCACUUAUAGAUGGAUCCGCGCCGCAUUAGCUAGUUGGUAAGGUAACGGCUUACCAAGGCAACGAUGCGUAGCCGACCUGAGAGGGUGAUCGGCCACACUGGAACUGAGACACGGUCCAGACUCCUACGGGAGGCAGCAGUAGGGAAUCUUCCGCAAUGGGCGAAAGCCUGACGGAGCAACGCCGCGUGAGUGAUGAAGGUCUUCGGAUCGUAAAACUCUGUUAUUAGGGAAGAACAAAUGUGUAAGUAACUAUGCACGUCUUGACGGUACCUAAUCAGAAAGUCACGGCUAACUACGU